rnacentral:rRNA from 1 species
CUACGGGUGGCAGCAGUGGGGAAUAUUGGACAAUGGGGGAAACCCUGAUCCAGCAAUGCCGCGUGUGUGAAGAAGGCCUGCGGGUUGUAAAGCACUUUCGGUUGGGAGGACUGCUUCUAGCACUAAUAUUGUUGGAAGUUGACGUUACCUUCAGAAGAAGCACCGGCUAACUCCGUGCCAGCAGCCGCGGUAAUACGGAGGGUGCAAGCGUUAAUCGGAAUUACUGGGCGUAAAGCGCGCGUAGGCGGCUAGAUCAGUCGGGUGUGAAAGCCCCGGGCUUAACCUGGGAACUGCAUCCGAUACUGUCUAGCUUGAGUACAGGAGAGGAGAGUGGAAUUCCACAUGUAGCGGUGAAAUGCGUAGAUAUGUGGAGGAACACCAAUGGCGAAGGCAGCUCUCUGGCCUGAUGCUGACGCUGAGGUGCGAAAGCAUGGGGAGCAAACAGGAUUAGAUACCAUUGUAGUC